UACGUAGGGGGCAAGCGUUGUCCGGAAUCAUUGGGCGUAAAGCGCGCGUAGGCGGCCCGGUAAGUCCGUUGUGAAAGUCAAAGGCUCAACCUUUGAAAGCCGAUGGAUACUGUGAAGCUAGAGUACGGAAGAGGCGAGUGGAAUUCCUGGUGUAGCGGUGGAAUGCGCAGAUAUCAGGAGGAACACCAAUAGCGAAGGCAGCUCGCUGGGACGUUACUGACACUGAGGCGCGAAAGCGUGGGGAGCGAACAGG
rnacentral:rRNA from 1 species